CUCCUGCCCGCUGCCGGUAGUUCCUCCUUUCAUUGCGGUCUUUACUAGGGAAUGAUCCCCGCAGGGGCACGGCCGGCGGGGCGGUGACUGGUUUUCACGGCGAAUCACGACAGGCCCUUGAAGGGCGGGAGGAGGAGCUGGCAUUCAGUGGAAUGGAUGUAAUGCACAUCUGGCUCUGAACUUCAGCUUCUAGAUCUACGGAAGGCCUUUCAUUCAUGCUGAUCUCCAGUUAUAAAAGAAACAAGAAUUUGUUAUGGCUCAAGCUUGGCUUCAGCAAAAUUCCAGCCCUUCAAAUGCAUUCAGUUAACGUGCUGAAUAUUGACUCACUGCUUACUCACGUGACCCACAUUUAAAUUACACUUUCUCAUUUUUGUAGCAUAUCAUAAAUAAUGGUUUAAUCCUCACAGCCUGAUGAAGUCAGUUGGCAUCGUUUUUCCUUGCUAAUGGAAGAAAAGUUUGUAGGAUAAAGUAAGAUAUUUUAUUAGAUGUCAUUAUUGCUUUCAGCUUUAUUUCAAGGAAGUGCUCCUGUAAAUUUGAGCUGAGCUAAGUAAUGAAAACAUACCAAAAGUAAUGGAGGAACUGAUUGCAAUCCCAGGUGGCUAAGAAAGAAGAGAGUGCUAUAACAUUGAGUCACCUGUGCUUUAUAGUCCAGCUGUUCUGAAGGAAGUUUGAAGGGAAUUUGACUUUGCCAAUAUUUAAGGGUGACACUUGGACACAACAGCUCAGCAUAACUGACAGGGGUACUGGUCCUAAAAUUAGUCUGUGCUGACUUCACUUACAGCAUCUCUCUUGAGACUGCUUAAAGGACAAGAUUGUAUGUUCCAGCUUAGUGGAGGAAUGGAGGUGCACCUUUUCCACAAGCUAUUCAGCCUGGAAGUCCCAGUUUCCAAAUGUUUUUCCUGCAUUGUCACUUCAAGAAAAGUUGCAGGGAGGAGCAUAGCAAACUUGGCUAACAGAGAACAAGAAAAGCAGUGAGAGAGUCUUUCCUUAUGGGGCACCAGGAGGCAUAAGGGAAGGACAGAAAAACGUUUGGCACAGAGCACUGCCAUGGUUUGUGCAGGAUUCCCACUGCAGGAGCAGGCUGACACAAUGGAAGCACUUUUUAUCUCAGGAUUUUACUGCCACCCACUGACUGAUGACUCUAAGGCCCCUAGGCAAAGAGCACUGUCCAUGGCAGCAGCACAGGCUGCCCCUCAGGAACAACACCCUCUGCCUUUAGGAGGGAUGGACCUCUGUGAUGGCACAUGUGUGGAGUGGGAGAGCCAUGGAGACCAUCGCCUUUUGUAAGUGUUUCUAUGAAGCAGCAUUAAGUGCAGGUUACAUAA